UACGUAGGGUCCGAGCGUUGUCCGGAAUUACUGGGCGUAAAGAGUGUGUAGGCGGUGUUCCCAGUCUGUUGUGAAAUCUCCCGGCUUAACCCGGGAAUGGCAGUCAAAACUACAAGUCUUGAGUGCCUGAGAGGAUGGCGGAAUUCCCGGUGUAGUAGUGAAAUACGUAGAUAUCGGGAAGAACACCUGAGGCGAAGGCGGCUAUCUGGCGGUGCACUGACGCUGAGGCGCGAAAGCGUGGGUAGCAAACAGG
rnacentral:rRNA from 1 species